CUGUGACAGUGUUAGUUCCUAGUUGAACUAGAUUUGAACCAGUACUUGGGUUAACUUGAGAAUCUACACUUUUCCCCCCCUCUUGUUGCGCUUUCAUUUGCAAAAAUCUAGCCUUAUCUCUAGGGUGUAAUUUUAUAUGCUUAGUCAAACUACCCGUGCCGCUACGGUCUCCAGUAUACCUAUGAACAAGUAAUUUCCCACAAGUUUUACACUUAUC
rnacentral:lncRNA from 1 species